UCAGACGAUGCGUCAUGCAUAUCAAUAAGCGGAGGAAAAGAAACUAACAAGGAUUCCCCUAGUAACGGCGAGUGAAGCGGGAAGAGCUCAAAUUUGAAAUCUUAAAGGGUUUCCCUUUACGAAUUGUAGUUUAAAGAAGUGUUUUCUGUUGAGGUUUUGGUAAAAGUUCUUUGGAAUAGGACAUCAUAGAGGGUGAGAAUCCCGUAUUUGACCUCUACUUUCAACUUUGUGAUACACUUUCAAAGAGUCGGAUUGUUUGGGAAUGCAGUCCAAAAUGGGUGGUAAAUUUCAUCUAAAGCUAAAUAUUGGCGAGAGACCGAUAGCGAACAAGUACCGUGAGGGAAAGAUGAAAAGAACUUUGAAAAGAGAGUUAAACAGUACGUGAAAUUGUCAAAAGGGAAGCGUUUGACACCAGUGUUGUUUUUCUGAAAAUCGAAUUAAAGAACUGUUUAUGCUAAGCUGUUUAGACUUUAUCAGCUAUCUGUUUAGUUUUGAGCUUUUCUUUAAUGCACUUUUCAGUUAACAAGUCAACAUCAAUUUCUUUUGCUGUAAAAAAGCUUGAGGAAGGUGGCUUGAGAUUCGUCUUAAGUGUUUAUAGCCUCUUGCCUAUGCAGUCGGAGAGAUUGAGGUCUGCAGCGUAGAUCCUUCGGGGCUAAAUGCAUUUGUGCUAAGUUAUAGCAUUUUAUAGACAACUUGUUGACUAUGAUUUGUCUUGUAGCUUACUCGCUUAUGUUAUUUUACCUACGCUUAGGAUGUUGACACACGCGCGUGCUCG
rnacentral:rRNA from 1 species